CAUCAGAACAGUUGCAUAUAACUGGGAUGGAGUUGUUUUUGCGGACUUUACUUUUACGUUUCCGUUUUCACCGCUGCGGAGCAGACGGGGAGGGGGAGACGCGUCUGUGUCGGAGCGUGAACUGCAGCAUGAUAGAAUAAACACAUUAGCCCAGUUCUACGAUCUCCCUGCUUUGGCAGAUCAUCAGCACGUUCAAAUCCUUCACGAUCUAAGAUCGUUAUAUCGCCCACCACUAGGAUGUAAAUUUUACAUGUUCAGUAUUUACAAUCCGAUCUCUUGAUGUGGUGGGAGAACCCAGAGGACAGCUGAGCACGCACUCUGUUGAUUGGUACAUGAACAAAACGUUAGCCAACAUGGAAGAGAGCCGAGUGAAGAAGGACGGACGACAACCGCAGCAAAACUAUUUUACUCACCUCCAGUUCACGCUGUAACAUGUACAUGUGUGAACACAGUCUCCACGUCUCUUUCCAACGUCUUUCUUAAUGAAGUUUUUCUGUUAAAAGAAUUUCACAAUUACCUCCUGCCUGUCGUCCGCCAUGUUUGUUCACUCUAAAGAUGCAUUUGAUGAUUUCCAGUUUUGAAGGGUCAGGACUCUGGUUGAGUAUGUGAGUGUGUUGAUAGCAACGAUUGGACCAAAGCAGGCCCACCACCACAUUAUAGGAACAAAACUGUUUAAUCAUCAUGUGUCAUCAUGUGUGGAGUCUCUCACAUUUUCAAAAUCUGUUUAGUCAGCGAGGCUUCAUUUUCUCAAUUAGGUCAUUAAAAGUUAUGGUUUGGUAUUCAUUACCUCCAGCCUGGCUAUUGAUUCACUUUGAAAUUAUUGAUGAUAUAAAUCCUUUUUUCAAGGUGGUUGGAAACUUUCGUCUUUUCCGACAUGUUUGCUUUGAGUAGACGACUGUUAUUUUUAUGUCACACACACAUCUGAUGGUGUGAUGAAAAUUACAGUAGGGAGGCAUGCUAAUGGAUGAUAACUUAGGUCCAGCAGUUC